GGGUUCAUGGCUAGCUCAGUUGGUUAGAGCGUGGCGCUGAUAAUGCCAAGGUUGCAAGUUUGAGCCUCAUAUUAUUCC